rnacentral:lncRNA from 10 species
CAGUCUUGGGGAGAAAAAAGCAUUCGGUGCAGAGCAUUUAGAACUGGAAGGACCAUUUGAAAUACAUAGUUCAUCUCUCUCAUGUUACUGAGGAGGAAAACUGAAGUGCACGGAGAACAGCAUCUUCUUUGGCGUGCUUGGGGAACCACGUUAAAAUUGAUUCUACGUGCCCGUGACCUCUUCUCAGGGAAUUCUGAGCUCCCCCGAGUCACACCCCCAUCUAGAUGAGGAGAGGAGGACGUGUCCCCUGGUUCAGUCUCGGGUGCCCAGUACCCAGCAGACGUCAGGGUGGAGGCAAACCGGCCUUUCGGUUAGUCCUUGUAGACGUGUUAAAAAAAAAAAUCCAGAACUGGCAUUUUUACUACUUUUAGUUAGCUCUUUGGCCUCUUUUUAUUUGGGGAUGGGUGGUGGGCAGUUUAUUAAAAG